AGCAAGGGGUGCUGGCGCAAGCCGGCUGAGACCGAACCUGGCGGUUCGGAACCCUGGAACCUGAUCCGGGUAAUGCCGGCGUAGGAAUCG
rnacentral:ncRNA from 1 species